UUGGAAGUAAAAGUCGUAACAAGGUUUCCGUAGGUGAACCUGCGGAAGGAUCAUUAACGAGUUAGGGUCUUUCAGGCCCGACCUCCCCAACCCUAUGUUUAUUGAACCUCUGUUGCUUCGGCGGACCCGUCUCACGGCCGCCGGAGGACCGCUGCGAGGCGUCCUCUGGCCAGCGUCCGCCGAUGGCCAACCUACUAAACUCUGAAUGAAUCGUGUCAUAUGUCUAAGUCUAUGAUUAAAUUAAAGCAAAACUUUCAACAACGGAUCUCUUGGUUCUGGCAUCGAUGAAGAACGCAGCGAAAUGCGAUAAGUAAUGCGAAUUGCAGAAUUCCAGUGAGUCAUCGAAUCUUUGAACGCACAUUGCGCCCUUUGGUAUUCCGAAGGGCAUGCCUGUUCGAGCGUCAUUAUCACCCCUCAAGCCCCGCGCUUGGUGUUGGACGGCCGGUUGAGCGAUCGACCCCUCCUAAAGACAAUGACGGCGGCCUGUGGUUCCCCCGGUACACUGAGCUUUUCAUCGAGCACGUAUCGGACAAGGGCACCCGGGACCCGGUCCUCUCCUUUAACUAGGAAACUUCUAAGGUUGACCUCGGAUCAGGUAGGAAUACGCGCUGAACUUAAGCAUAUCAAUAAGCGGAGGA
rnacentral:rRNA from 1 species